rnacentral:rRNA from 1 species
UACAGACGAACGCUGGCGGCAUGGAUUAGGCAUGCAAGUCGAACGGUGCAGCAAUGCACCAGUGGCGCAAGGGUGAGGAACACGUGAGUAAUCUACCCUCAAGAUUGGGAUAGCUCCUGGAAACGGGAAUUAAUACCGGAUGAAACAGUUUGUCCGCAUGGGUGAACUUUUAAGCAGCAAUGCGCUUGAGGAGGAGCUCGCGUCCCAUUAGCUGGUUGGUAAGGUAACGGCCCACCAAGGCGAUGAUGGGUAGCUGGUCUGAGAGGACGAUCAGCCACAUUGGGACUGAGAAACUGCCCAGACUCCUACGGGAGGCUGCAGUCGAGAAUUUUGGGCAAUGAGCGAAAGCUUUGACCCAGCAAUGCCGCGUGCGGGAUGAAGGUCUUCGGAUUGUAAACCGCUGUUGAGAGGGACGAAGAUUGACGGUACCUCUAGAGGAAGCCACGGCUAACUACGUGCCAGCCGCCGC